CUCUAUAAUUAACAACUUGUCCCCUGAGCAGCAGAAGCGAUCGAGCCUGUUUUCCUACGGAUCUGUGCCAUAUGUGGAUAUGCUAAGAGGAAGUGCAUUCCCUCUCCAGUGCUGUGCUUACAGAAGGCCUUAUGAAGGGGACUGGUGAUAGCUGACUCUCCAGAGCCUCUCUUCAUCCCAGUUUCUGUUGCAACACAGAAACUCGGGACUUGUCUUGCUUGGAUGAUUGUUUCAUUUCCUCAUCGAAAAGGUGAUUACCCCUUUAGUUCUCAUAAUUACCUAAUCAGCAAAAAUCAAAUCAAUCAAUGUUAAUUUCAACCCUAAUAAAUAUUCUCUAGUAUUCUAUACAUUUAUGUAUAUCUCAAAACUCAUCCUAAUUGAAAGGGAAACAUGAUUUCACAAGUCAGGCCAACUUGCUCAACAUCAGGUUCAGCAGUGUGCCACACAUCCUGUGAACGCACACAGAGGGGACAGCAUGUGACAGAGGGAAAGCUGAACAAAUGCACCUGGAAACUGGGAUGGGAAAGGCCAACACAUAACAAAAAGUCAACCUGUCCAUACCAUGCCAUGAGAUGGGACCAGCAGGACCCAAAGAAGUCCAGAGAGAAGUUUGCCUCUGUCCUUGAAGGCAUUUUAUGGCUACAGACUCCACAGGCUCCCUAGACGAUCUUUUCAGUGCUUAACUGUGGUUCUUAUUUGAGACAUCUAGAGAUAGUACCAAAGUUAAACCUUCCUUGCUGGACUUCAAGCUUA